AUGGCCUGAUUAUGGGCAUCAUUAAAUUACACGUUACCAUUCUUCCGGAACAUCGCAUUGAACAUGUCCUAAUGUUUCACAAUGAGAAGUGAAGCACUUCCUCUUACUUAAAAAGAAAAAUAUUUGAUUUUUACAGGAUGCCUGACACUAAUGCUUACUAUUCUGCUAUCUAUGAUGUCUUCACUUAUGGAUAUAUUUAUUAACAAGUACUUAUUAGCUAUUUAACAUUUCCUCUACUGAGUGUUAUUAAUUACAGAUGCUGUAUUAGUUUCCUAAGGCUGCUGUAACAAAUUACCACAAACGUGGUGACUUAAAACAACAGAAAUUUAUUCUCUCACGGUUCUGGAGGCCAGAAGUUCAAAAUACAGCUGGGACCAAAGGCAUCUCUAAGGAAGGAUACAGUCCUUGCCUCUUCCAGGGUUCUGUGCCUCCUGUUGGAAUGAGCUCACUAACCAGUGGAAACAAACUGUUUAUCCUUCUAUGAUGUUGCAACUGCCUGGGCUUUCUAAUGCGUCUUCAGAUUUCGGUUUGUACUCAGAACAAGUGAGAAAAGUUUUACAGCAACUCCACGAAACAAAGCAGACAGGCUCUCCUGAAGCCAAGGAGUUAUGAAAAAGGCAGGCAUCGCGCAUUGAAUCAAGUAUGCCAUUACCCUCACUCCCAUGAACCUGUCUUUCAGCACAAUCCAUGACAGCAAGAAGACAAAGGCUUUGUUACAACAGAACAGAGCGGAGACAUCCGUGGCCGUCAGCUUCUUUAAAGCCAGUAAAUAAAGGUAAUUAGUCAAAGUCCAUAGAAUAGAAAAGGGAGCAGUUCUUUUAAGAAAGAGUUUCAGCGUCAGACCAUCUUCACCAAAAAUCCGACUGCAUUCCCUAGGAAAGAAAAGAGAAGUUAAUAUCCAGGUACUGAUGGUGACACCUCUUGUCUUAUCUGACUCAUCGCAGCCAUUUUCAGGUAAGAGCACAAACACUCAAUACCCAUCCUUCAUUGUGAAGUAUACUGAACCCAGUUCUGAAAUCUGCGGGCUUCAGGGAGUGUAUGAGGUUCCUUGGAAAAUAGCCCACAUGUGCCCAAGCACAGAGUUAGGCUCUCUUCUCUGAGAUAGUCUCUGGAGGUUGCCUGAAAAGCCAUUCUGUCGUUUUUGAGCAUUCUCAGAAGAGCCUGCAGAAAUACCGAAAUUGGUAGUUGCUGAAAUCACUAGCUAUUGGAAGAGGGUGGGCAAACGAGAGAGGGUCAAGGCUGCUACUACUCUGUGAACGGGCUACAGACAACUCCUAGAACCCGGAGGGAAAGGGACCCUCAUACAUCUGUGCAGCACACAUGUUUUUGGAUUUUAUUUCUAAGACACUAAGCCACUUUCUAAUAUAUCUGCCCAAUUGACUAAUUUUUUUUCCUGCCAGCAUUUUUAAGGCAGAAAAAUGAAGUCCCUGUGAUAA
rnacentral:lncRNA from 1 species